AUUGAACGCUGGCGGCAGGCCUAACACAUGCAAGUCGAACGGUAGCACAGAGAGCUUGCUCUCGGGUGACGAGUGGCGGACGGGUGAGUAAUGUCUGGGAAACUGCCUGAUGGAGGGGGAUAACUACUGGAAACGGUAGCUAAUACCGCAUAACGUCGCAAGACCAAAGAGGGGGACCUUCGGGCCUCUUGCCAUCAGAUGUGCCCAGAUGGGAUUAGCUAGUAGGUGGGGUAACGGCUCACCUAGGCGACGAUCCCUAGCUGGUCUGAGAGGAUGACCAGCCACACUGGAACUGAGACACGGUCCAGACUCCUACGGGAGGCAGCAGUGGGGAAUAUUGCACAAUGGGCGCAAGCCUGAUGCAGCCAUGCCGCGUGUAUGAAGAAGGCCUUCGGGUUGUAAAGUACUUUCAGCGGGGAGGAAGGUGUUGUGGUUAAUAACCGCAGCAAUUGACGUUACCCGCAUAAGAAGCACCGGCUAACUCCGUGCCAGCAGCCGCGGUAAUACGGAGGGUGCAAGCGUUAAUCGGAAUUACUGGGCGUAAAGCGCACGCAGGCGGUCUGUCAAGUCGGAUGUGAAAUCCCCGGGCUCAACCUGGGAACUGCAUUCGAAACUGGCAGGCUAGAGUCUUGUACAGGGGGGUAGAAUUCCAGGUGUAGCGGUGAAAUGCGUAGAGAUCUGGAGGAAUACCGGUGGCGAACGCGGCCCCCUGGACAAAGACUGACGCUCACGUGCGAAAGCGUGGGGAGCAAACAGGAUUAG
rnacentral:rRNA from 1 species